UACUCCUGAUUGACCGAUAGUGAACCAGUACCGUGAGGGAAAGGCGAAAAGAACCCCGGCGAGGGGAGUGAAAAAGAACCUGAAACCGUGUACGUACAAGCAGUAGGAGCCUCUUUAUGGGGUGACUGCGUACCUUUUGUAUAAUGGGUCAGCGACUUAUAUUCUGUAGCAAGGUUAACCGUAUAGGGGAGCCGUAGGGAAACCGAGUCUUAACUGGGCGAAUGAGUUGCAGGGUAUAGACCCGAAACCCGGUGAUCUAUCCAUGGGCAGGUUGAAGGUUGGGUAACACUAAC
rnacentral:rRNA from 1 species